GAACUGAAGAGUUUGAUCCUGGCUCAGAUUGAACGCUGGCGGCAUGCCUUACACAUGCAAGUCGAACGGCAGCGCGGGGCAACCUGGCGGCGAGUGGCGAACGGGUGAGUAAUAUA
rnacentral:rRNA from 1 species